rnacentral:rRNA from 1 species
CCCCGCCAUAGCAAACUCCGAAUACCGAAGAGUGCAAUCACGGGAGACAGACAUCGGGUGCUAACGUCCGGUGUCAAGAGGGAAACAACCCAGACCGCCAGCUAAGGUCCCCAAAUAUGGCUAAGUGGGAAACGAAGUGGGAAGGCUAAAACAGUCAGGAGGUUGGCUUAGAAGCAGCCACCCUUUAAAGAAAGCGUAAUAGCUCACUGAUCGAGUCGUCCUGCGCGGAAGAUGUAACGGGGCUAAGCCAUAUACCGAAGCUGCGGAUGCGAGCUAGUCUCGCAUGGUAGGAGAGCGUUCCGUAAGCCUGCGAAGGUGCGUUGAAAAGCGUGCUGGAGGUAUCGGAAGUGCGAAUGCUGACAUGAGUAGCGAUAAAGGGGGUGAAAGGCCCCCUCGCCGUAAGCCCAAGGUUUCCUACGCAACGUUCAUCGGCGUAGGGUGAGUCGGCCCCUAAGGCGAGGCAGAAAUGCGUAGCUGAUGGGAAGCAGGUCAAUAUUCCUGCACCAUUGUUAGAUGCGAUGGGGGGACGGAUCGCGGAAGGUUGUCCGGGUGUUGGAAGUCCCGGUCGCUGCAUUGGAGAAGGCGCUUAGGCAAAUCCGGGCGCAGGAUUCAAGGGUGUGGCGCGAGCUCCUUCGGGAGCGAAGCAAUUGGAAGUGGUUCCAAGAAAAGCCUCUAAGCUUCAGUCUAACGAUGACCGUACCGCAAACCGACACAGGUGGGCGAGAUGAGUAUUCUAAGGCGCUUGAGAGAACUCGGGAGAAGGAACUCGGCAAAUUGGUACCGUAACUUCGGGAUAAGGUACGCCCUGGUAGCUUGACUGGCCUGCGCCAGAAGGGUGAAGGGGUUGCAAUAAACUGGUGGCUGCGACUGUUUAAUAAAAACACAGCACUCUGCAAACACGAAAGUGGACGUAUAGGGUGUGACGCCUGCCCGGUGCCGGAAGAUUAAAUGAUGGGGUGCAAGCUCUUGAUUGAAGUCCCGGUAAACGGCGGCCGUAACUAUAACGGUCCUAAGGUAGCGAAAUUCCUUGUCGGGUAAGUUCCGACCUGCACGAAUGGCGUAACGAUGGCCACACUGUCUCCUCCCGAGACUCAGCGAAGUUGAAGUGUUUGUGAUGAUGCAAUCUACCCGCGGCUAGACGGAAAGACCCCAUGAACCUUUACUGUAGCUUUGCAUUGGACUUUGAACCGAUCUGUGUAGGAUAGGUGGGAGGCUAUGAAACCGGAACGCUAGUUUCGGUGGAGCCGUCCUUGAAAUACCACCCUGGUUUGUUUGAGGUUCUAACCUUGGCCCGUGAUCCGGGUCGGGGACAGUGCAUGGUAGGCAGUUUGACUGGGGCGGUCUCCUCCCAAAGCGUAACGGAGGAGUACGAAGGUACGCUAGGUACGGUCGGAAAUCGUGCUGAUAGUGCAAUGGCAUAAGCGUGCUUAACUGCGAGACCGACAAGUCGAGCAGGUGCGAAAGCAGGUCAUAGUGAUCCGGUGGUUCUGUAUGGAAGGGCCAUCGCUCAACGGAUAAAAGGUACUCUGGGGAUAACAGGCUGAUACCGCCCAAGAGUUCAUAUCGACGGCGGUGUUUGGCACCUCGAUGUCGGCUCAUCUCAUCCUGGGGCUGUAGCCGGUCCCAAGGGUAUGGCUGUUCGCCAUUUAAAGAGGUACGUGAGCUGGGUUUAAAACGUCGUGAGACAGUUUGGUCCCUAUCUGCCGUGGGCGUUGGAAGUUUGAAGGGGGCUGCUCCUAGUACGAGAGGACCGGAGUGGACGAACCUCUGGUGUACCGGUUGUGACGCCAGUCGCAUCGCCGGGUAGCUAUGUUCGGAAGAGAUAACCGCUGAAAGCAUCUAAGCGGGAAACUCGCCUUAAGAUGAGACUUCCCCGGGGACUUGAUCCCCUUGAAGGGUCGUUCGAGACCAGGACGUUGAUAGGUCGGGUGUGUAAGCGCAGUAAUGCGUUCAGCUAACCGAUACUAAUUGCCCGUACGGCUUGAUCCU